UACGAGGGGUGCAAACGUUAUUCGGAUUUAUUGGGCGUAAAGGGUGCGUAGACGGCACAUUAAGUCAACUGUUAAAUCUUCCGGCCUAACCGGAAGCCUGCAGUAGAUACUGGUGAGCUUGAGGAUGGAAGAGAGGAGUGGAAUUCUCGGAGUAGCGGUAAAAUGCGUAGAUCUCGAGAGGAACACCGAUGGCGAAGGCAGCUCCUUGGUCCAAUCCUGACGUUGAGGCACGAAAGCGUGGGUAGCAAACAGG
rnacentral:rRNA from 1 species